rnacentral:rRNA from 1 species
GAUGAACGCUGGCGGCGUGCCUAAUACAUGCAAGUCGAGCGAACAGACGAGGAGCUUGCUCCUCUGACGUUAGCGGCGGACGGGUGAGUAACACGUGGAUAACCUACCUAUAAGACUGGGAUAACUUCGGGAAACCGGAGCUAAUACCGGAUAAUAUAUUGAACCGCAUGGUUCAAUAGUGAAAGACGGUUUUGCUGUCACUUAUAGAUGGAUCCGCGCCGCAUUAGCUAGUUGGUAAGGUAACGGCUUACCAAGGCGACGAUGCGUAGCCGACCUGAGAGGGUGAUCGGCAACACUGGAACUGAGACACGGUCCAGACGCCUACGGGAGGCAGCAGUAGGGAAUCUUCCGCAAUGGGCGAAAGCAUGACGGAGCAACGCCGCGUGAGUGAUGAAGGUCUUCGGAUCGUAAAACUCUGUUAUUAGGGAAGAACAAAUGUGUAAGUAACUAUGCACGUCUUGACGGUACCUAAUCAGAAAGCCACGGCUAACUACGUG